rnacentral:rRNA from 1 species
AGUGAACGCUGGCGGUAGGCCUAACACAUGCAAGUCGAACGGCAGCACAGAGGAGCUUGCUCCUUGGGUGGCGAGUGGCGGACGGGUGAGGAAUACAUCGGAAUCUACUCUGUCGUGGGGGAUAACGUAGGGAAACUUACGCUAAUACCGCAUACGACCUACGGGUGAAAGCAGGGGAUCUUCGGACUUUGCGCGAUUGAAUGAGCCGAUGUCGGAUUAGCUAGUUGGCGGGGUAAAGGCCCACCAAGGCGACGAUCCGUAGCUGGUCUGAGAGGGUGAUCAGCCACACUGGAACUGAGACACGGUCCAGACUCCUACGGGAGGCAGCAGUGGGGAAUAUUGGACAAUGGGCGCAAGCCUGAUCCAGCCAUACCGCGUGGGUGAAGAAGGCCUUCGGGUUGUAAAGCCCUUUUGUUGGGGAAGAAAUCCAUCUGGUUAAUACCCGGGUGGGAUGACGGUACCCAAAGAAUAAGCACCGGCUAACUUCGUGCCAGCCGCCGCAGUAA